rnacentral:rRNA from 1 species
AGAGUUUGAUCCUGGCUCAGAACGAACGCUGGCGGCGUGCCUAACACAUGCAAGUCGAGCGCGAAUGGAGCAAUCCUAGUAGAGCGGCGCACGGGUGCGUAACACGUGGAUAAUCUGCCUGGGUGUCUGGGAUAACCAGUCGAAAGAUUGGCUAAUACCGGAUAAGCCCCCGGGAGCUUCGGCUCUUGAGGGAAAAGGUGGCCUCUGUAUACAAGCUAUCACAUCCAGAUGAGUCCGCGGCCCAUCAGCUAGUUGGCGGGGUAAUGGCCCACCAAGGCAACGACGGGUAGCUGGUCUGAGAGGACGAUCAGCCACACUGGAACUGAGACACGGUCCAGACUCCUACGGGAGGCAGCAGUGGGGAAUUUUGCGCAAUGGGCGAAAGCCUGACGCAGCAACGCCGCGUGUGUGAUGAAGGUCUUCGGAUUGUAAAGCACUUUCGACCGGGACGAAAACCCAUUGGCUAACAUCCAAUGGCUUGACGGUACCGGGAGAAGAAGCACCGGCUAACUCUGUGCCAGCAGCCGCGGUAAUACAGAGGGUGCAAGCGUUGUUCGGAAUUAUUGGGCGUAAAGCGCGUGUAGGCGGCUUUGCAAGUCGGGGUGUGAAAGCCCUCAGCUCAACUGAGGAAGUGCGCCCGAAACUGCAGAGCUUGAGUGCCGGAGAGGGUGGCGGAAUUCCCCAAGUAGAGGUGAAAUUCGUAGAUAUGGGGAGGAACACCGGUGGCGAAGGCGGCCACCUGGACGGUAACUGACGCUGAGACGCGAAAGCGUGGGGAGCAAACAGGAUUAGAUACCCUAGUAGUCC